rnacentral:rRNA from 1 species
GACGAACGCUGGCGGCGUGCCUAAUACAUGCCAGUAGAACGCACAGUUUAUACCGUAGCCUGCUACACCAUAGACUGUGAGUUGCGAACGGGUGAGUAACGCGUAGGUAACCUGCCUGGUAGCGGGGGAUAACUAUUGGAAACGAUAGCUAAUACCGCAUAAUAUUAAUUAUUGCAUGAUAAUUAAUUGAAAGGUGCAAUUGCACCACUACCAGAUGGACCUGCGUUGUAUUAGCUAGUAGGUGAGGUAACGGCUCACCUAGGCGACGAUACAUAGCCGACCUGGGAGGGUGAUCGGCCACACUGGGACUGAGAAACGGCCCAGACUCCUACGGGAGGCAGCAGUAGGGAAUCUUCGGCAAUGGACGAAAGUCUGACCGAGCAACGCCGCGUGAGUGAAGAAGGUUUUCGGAUCGUAAAGCUCUGUUGUAAGAGAAGAACGGGUGUGAGAGUGGAAAGUUCACACUGUGACGGUAUCUUACCAGAAAGGGACGGCUAACUACGUG